UGUGUUAAGUAGGAACUAGCCGUUUCUCACCUUGCAGCACAGCUAGUAAGGUUAUAUAUGUUAAUUAUUGUUUAGUAUAUUACAGAACGGCUUUUUGACCGUUCUGUUUUUAUUUU
rfam:Clostridium sp. DMHC 10 contig_15, whole genome shotgun sequence.